GACGAACGCUGGCGGCGUGCUUAACACAUGCAAGUCGAACGGAAAGGCCCUGCUUUUGUGGGGUGCUCGAGUGGCGAACGGGUGAGUAACACGUGAGUAACCUGCCCUUGACUUUGGGAUAACUUCAGGAAACUGGGGCUAAUACCGGAUAGGAGCUCCUGCUGCAUGGUGGGGGUUGGAAAGUUUCGGCGGUUGGGGAUGGACUCGCGGCUUAUCAGCUUGUUGGUGGGGUAGUGGCUUACCAAGGCUUUGACGGGUAGCCGGCCUGAGAGGGUGACCGGCCACAUUGGGACUGGGAUACGGCCCAGACUCCUACGGGAGGCAGCAGUGGGGAAUAUUGCACAAUGGGCGGAAGCCUGAUGCAGCAACGCCGCGUGCGGGAUGACGGCCUUCGGGUUGUAAAGCGCUUUCGCCUGUGACGAAGCGUGAGUGACGGUAAUGGGUAAAGAAGCACCGGCUAACUACGUG
rnacentral:rRNA from 1 species